CAAUUCAAUCCAAUCCAAUAUCAAAAGCUUCAGGUAUACUGAAACUUUUAAGACUGUAUCGCCAUUUUUUAUUUUUUUUUUUUGAGGAAGUAUCGCCAUUUUUAGUACAGAGUUCAAACAUUAUUUCAAAAUCCUAAGUUCCUAACCUAAAAUCCCAAAAUCCCUAAAAUCUCUCAGAUUCUAGAAUCAGCAGAACGCCAAGGCCGACGGCGACAACGUUUUGGCUGGAUCAGAUGGGAUUCUGGAGUAGAGGAGUAGUUGCUGAUAAAUGGUCUGGGAGGAUUUUGUGGCUCUGUGCAAUUGGGAGUGCAGUUGGCCUCUAUAUGGUUGUUGUGGAAAGACAACUGCAAAAUAGAGAAAAGAUGAUGGCAGAAUCGUUGGCGGCUGCAGAAGGAAAUCCUAACGGUGGAGAAAAUUAACGAUCUCUGUAAGUGGAAAUCUGUUGGAAUACAUAAAAAUAUAUGUUGAAAGAAUUCUUAUUUCGUUUAGCAUUCCCCUAGCAUUUGCCCACUUAAGCUGCGUUUUUGACAACUUGUAAUAAUAUGCUUGUGAUUUCAAGCAAAAAUGUUUUUCUUUUGAAUUCGUGUUGUGGAUUUUGGUGUAUAACCAUUACCAUUAGAUCAAGAGGUUGUUGAUGAAAACCAUUCUUGUAAAUCAUAAGCUUUGUCUCAAUUCUUGAAAUUAUUAGGGUUU